rnacentral:lncRNA from 1 species
CCAGUAUAAAUUUUACUCUUAAUAUUCAUACUUAUGUUUAAGAAUUGAUAACUCCUUAUUCAUGAUCCAUGAGAUGUGAUCAUCAGUCUAUUUACAUAAUAGUCUUAAUGCCUUAAUGUUAUCCCACUUCACAAUAAAGCUUGACUACAGAUACUUUAAGAAUAGUGUCCUUAUGUUUAAUGUGAUCUCAUGAUUAAGUCACACUUGAU